GAACGCUCGUCUUCGGACGGGAGUGGCAGACGGGUGAGUAACACGUGGGAACGUACCCUUUGGUUCGGAAUAACGCAGGGAAACUUGCGCUAAUACCGGAUACGCCCUUUUGGGGAAAGGUUUACUGCCGAAGGAUCGGCCCGCGUCUGAUUAGCUAGUUGGUGGGGUAACGGCCUACCAAGGCGACGAUCAGUAGCUGGUCUGAGAGGAUGAUCAGCCACACUGGGACUGAGACACGGCCCAGACUCCUACGGGAGGCAGCAGUGGGGAAUAUUGGACAAUGGGCGCAAGCCUGAUCCAGCCAUGCCGCGUGAGUGAUGAAGGCCUUAGGGUUGUAAAGCUCUUUUGUCCGGGACGAUAAUGACGGUACCGGAAGGAAAGCCCCGGCUAACUUCGUG
rnacentral:rRNA from 1 species